ACGGGAGGCAGCAGUAGGGAAUCUUCCGCAAUGGACGAAAGUCUGACGGAGCAACGCCGCGUGAGCGAUGAAGGUCUUCGGAUCGUAAAGCUCUGUUGUUAGGGAAGAACAAGUACGAGAGUAACUGCUCGUACCUUGACGGUACCUAACCAGAAAGCCACGGCUAACUACGUGCCAGCAGCCGCGGUAAUACGUAGGUGGCAAGCGUUGUCCGGAAUUAUUGGGCGUAAAGGGCUCGCAGGCGGUCUUCUAAGUCUGAUGUGAAAUCUUGCGGCUUAACCGUAAGCGGUCAUUGGAAACUGGAGGACUUGAGUACAGAAGAGGAGAGUGGAAUUCCACGUGUAGCGGUGAAAUGCGUAGAGAUGUGGAGGAACACCAGUGGCGAAGGCGACUCUCUGGUCUGUAACUGACGCUGAGGAGCGAAAGCGUGGGGAGCAAACAGGAUUAGAUACCCUGGUA
rnacentral:rRNA from 1 species